rnacentral:rRNA from 1 species
AGAGUUUGAUCCUGGCUCAGAUUGAACGCUGGCGGCAUGCUUUACACAUGCAAGUCGAACGGCAGCAUAGGUGCUUGCACCUGAUGGCGAGUGGCGGACGGGUGAGUAAUGCAUCGGGACGUGUCCGGAAGAGGGGGAUAACUGUUCGAAAGAACAGCUAAUACCGCAUAAUAUCCGAGGAAGAAAGCUGGGGACCUUAGGGCCUGGCGCUUACGGGGCGACCGAUGUCUGAUUAGCUAGUUGGUGGGGUAAAAGCCUACCAAGGCGACGAUCAGUAGCUGGUCUGAGAGGACGACCAGCCACACUGGGACUGAGAAACGGCCCAGACUCCUACGGGAGGCAGCAGUGGGGAAUUUUGGACAAUGGGGGCAACCCUGAUCCAGCAAUGCCGCGUGUCUGAAGAAGGCCUUCGGGUUGUAAAGGACUUUUGUUGGGGAGCAAGGUGCACAGGUUAAGAGCUAGUGUACUUGAGAGUACCCAAAGAAUAAGGACCGGCUAACUACGUGCCAGCAGCCGCGGUAAUAUGUAGGGUCCAAGCGUUAAUCGGAAUUACUGGGCGUAAAGAGUGCGCAGGCGGCUUUGUAAGCUUGAUGUGAAAUCCCCGGGCUCAACCUGGGAACUGCAUUGAGGACUGCAAGGCUAGAGUGUAGCAGAGGGGGGUAGAAUUCCACGUGUAGCGGUGAAAUGCGUAGA